AUGGGGGAUAACGUAGCGAAAGUUACGCUAAUACCGCAUACGACCUGAGGGUGAAAGCAGGGGAUCGCAAGACCUUGCGUUAUACGAGCGGCCGAUGUUUGAUUAGCUAGUUGGUGAGGUAAAGGCUCCCCAAGGCGACGAUCAGUAGCGGGUUUGAGAGGAUGAUCCGCCACCCUGGGACUGAGACCCGGCCCCGACUCCUUCGGGAGGCAGCAGUGGGGAAUUUUGGACAAUGGGGGAAACCCUGAUCCAGCCCUGCCGCGUGAGUGAAGAAGGCCUUCGGGUUGUAAAGCUUUUUUGGCCGGGAAGAAAUCGCACCGGCUAAUACUUUGUGUGGAUGACGGUAAAGGCAUAAGAAGCCCCGGCUAACUACGUG
rnacentral:rRNA from 1 species